rnacentral:misc_RNA from 1 species
AAGUCAUAGUAAAUCUAAUAAUAAUUAACUAAUACCGAUAAAAACUUUAUCACUUUUUUAACGUGUAUAUUUCAAUUACCAUUGAUUUCACAAAAAAUACAUCCAAAAUCCAUCUCUAUUUUUUAUUGCCACACGAAAUCUUAAAAAUUCAAUAGAGGAGUAAUCAAUUUGAGGCAGCUACACGUUGAAUGUAAGCUUGGUAAUGGGCAAACAAUUCAUCUCUUGACGGUAAAUAUUCCUUGUUUUGAAUGUAGUAUUCAUCUCUCCAAUCGCAAAAAUUUGGGAAUUUUUCACUUGUCACCGAAACAACUCCAAUUACUUCUUCAAGAACUCCAAACCAAAGGGCUACAGCAUUUGCAACAACAUCAACAAAUCCAAAGUUGUUACCAACAAAAAACUUUUUGUCCUUGAGCUCAUUAUCAAGAAUUUUCAACAUCUCAUUAACUUCCUCUUUACCUUUCUCUUGCUCCUCUCCUUUGAAAAAUAGACUUUUCAUCAUUGAUGGCCACUUAUCUUCGAAGAAUUUAGCCCAGAAACGAGCUAAAGCUCGAUCAUAAGGGUCUUUAGGUAAGAUGGAAGGGCCUUCAAAUGUCUCGUCAAUGUAUUCGAGAAUCACACUUGACUCACAAAUUGGCUUCCCAUCGUGAAUGAGCACAGGGACUUUCUUGUGAAUUGGAUUGGAUUGAAGAAGUAAAAGGCUCUUAUUUUGUAGAUCAUCUUCUAUAUAUUCAUAUUCCACACCCUUAGUCUUAAGAGCCCAUUCAACUCUUUUACUAAAAGGGCUAUACCAUAGACCAAGCAACUUAAUAUCUGCCAUCUCUCAACUUUGGUUAACUGUGUCUUUUGCUUUACUUAUUGAGGGAAUUAUUUUCAGUGGUUGUUGCUGAUGGAAUG